UAUCUGCCUCAGGAUUGUGCUUUUGAAGUGGAUAUCCUGUGCAUUCCCACUUUCAGCACUGUAGUUCACAAGGAAGAUAUCAACUAGAUCACAUUUGAAAUAAACUAAACUAGGAUUGCUGAAACUAUUAAGAUUCUUGUGAAAGGGAACUCUGGCCUUGUGAUGAGAUUAAGAGUGAGUUGUAAGUAAAAAUUUCUCAAAUGUGCGGGUAUCUGCUCUUCAACACCGUUUUGCUCUGCAAAUCUUAUCUAUAGUACUUGCUAGUGUGGCCAUUCUCAUUUAGUUCAUAGAAUGAUAGUAUUUUGAAUUGGAUGGAACCUUUAAAGGUAGUCUAGUCUAGCUCCUCUGCAAUGAACAGGGACACUUACAGCUAGAUCAGGUUGCCUGACCUUAAGUGUGUCUAAGGGUGGGGCUUCCUGUCUCUCUGGGCAACCUAUUUCAGUGUCUCACCACCAAUUCAGUACAAAAAAAAAAAAAGAAAAAAAAACCUUUUCCUUGCAUCCAAUCUACAUUAAGUAUUUUUCUUAUUUGACUUUAAUAUUCUCAACAUCUCUACUGCGGGCUAGGGCUAAAACUCAAGAAAAUUGCACAGUUUGUCAUCACCAUUGUGAAUGACACUAGUCUUGUCAUUACUUCUCUGUUUGAAUCUCUGAGACGUGGAAAUAAUUUUUGCCCAAGUUUAAGUGUUUGUACAUUUACUAUACCUGAACAAAACCUUGAUGCUCUUGCUACUACUGAAUUUCAGACAGCCUGUUUUCUAAUAUCCUGAGCACAUACAUAAUAAAAAAACAUAAUCGGGAAAUGUGGACAAAUUACCAUAAUGUCAUUUCUUUUUUCCUGUGAAGAAAGAUUAGAGAUACAGUGUAGUCAGAAAGCAGUUCCAGUAAGACCUCAAAGAGUAUUAAACAUAUUACAGUAAAAUUGUCUGGAAGAAGACUGGUAUUUUGCUGAAAGAAAUAGGAUUGAAUGCUUCCUUUAAGUGUGGUCAGUAGUCUUUACAUUUAUCUAUUAGCUCUGAGAGAAUUAUGUAGAUUACUCAGUGGUAGAAACAUCGUCAUUUACAUAGGUAUUUAUUUAUCUGUAUUUUUAUUUACUUUUAUGGGUACUUUGUGAAGCUAACAGCAUAACAUAAAAUUUUUCCCUAAUCUUUGUGUUGAAGGUACAACUGACUGAAAGUGUUGCAUAACUUGGCAAUGAUAAAAUAAAGAAUCUGAUCCUGACAGAAACAAAAGCAGUCUUUUUUUUCUGGGAGAAAUUAUUCAUACUGAAAUAACAUUUCAACAAUAAAACAUAAAAGUGAUACCUAGUCAGAGAUCAUUAAAAAGUAUCCUGUCAUUUGAAUCAGACCGUGUAUUGUAAUGCAGAUUAUAUUGAUUUAGUUUCAAAUUGAAACUAGAGGUUCCCCCCAAGUGAUAACAGGUACAGAAUCUCUUUGAAUUAUGCUGGUGAGCAAUGGGAUACUUGGUACAUCUCUCUUACCAAAAACUUGAGAUCAGAAGAUUAUUAGCUGGAGGUUUUUAGACUUCUUUCUGGAAGCUCAAUAAAUUAUUAACUGUAUUCAUACCAUUUGCAGUACUGCCAGUAGAUAGUGGGUUUUUUCCCUCUUAAAAAAAAAAAAAAAAAGGAAGAAAUGGUGCUGUGCUCUUACUUUUGUUGUAAAGCAGAGCGUAAUUCAUCUUAUUCUUUUCACUGAUUAAGAGACAUUGCCUUUACUCAAGUAGGGGCAAGAUACCCUUUCCCAAAACCCACAUUCAAACCUUCCACAUUAUAGUUCUCUGGAACUACCAAGGCUGUACAAACUGUUCUUGUGUCUUUUUGAAAAUGUCCUAAUGUUACAGCUCUUACCUUUAGCAGAUACUGCAUCCCACCUCCUCAAAGGAGUAAGAAAAGCCAUAACUGAAUGGUGUAUGAAGACUGUGACUGCUAGAAUUAUCCUCUCAUAAUUUCUAUGAAAUCUUAGAGUAUCAAAUGUGAUAGCAAAGUUCUCAGAGUUAAUCUGAUGAAUCCAUGUCAUGCAAAAUUGUGUCUUCCUACCACUUAGGUAUAGUGAUCUUUCAUUUGUGUCCUGCCAACUGAAGCCCAUUGCAGUACAGUGUGUUUCAGUUUCCAUGACAAUUCACGAAAAGUUCUGUGGGAACAUACACCAGUACACCAAGGCUAAUGAGGUGCUCUUGAGUUCUGAAAGACAAAUGACUGUGUAAAUCUGCCUCAGCUGAAAGCCAGUAACAGCAAGCCUGAUUCAGUUAUACUAAGGUCUCUUUGGGUUGUUUUGAUGGACUGAAGAAAUCUGAUGGUUAUAGGAAUGACACCUUGUGUGUAAGUGGUAACCAUAGCCAGUGCAGAGCAAUUAUUACGAUGUGAAUCAGCUACAGUCCCUAAAGUGAAAGCUGAACUAAGGGAAGAGGAGGAAACUAAAGAGUGAAUGAAUCUAGGGCUUUAUACUGGUCUCUACUCUUGCGUCCUUUGAUUAGGAAAGAUCUGUUGUUAAGGGAGACCACUGGAGUUCAAACCCUUAUUGAUUUUUUUCACUGCUGAGGACAUAGGGCCUCAGCCUGCAUCUAAGUGUUGAAGUACAAAUUCUGAGUGAUUCAGUGCUCAGCUUUUCUCCUCAGCACUUUCUUGUGUUGCAAAAAUUGCAUAUUUGAGAGCUGGGACUAGAGAGUGGAAUGAGAUCAGAAUUUCCAAGAAGCUGGUGAUAGUACCUUUGAGGAUCACAACAAUACUAAAAACUACUGUAGAUUUUCAUUACUUUUCAGAGAAACUGCAUUGAAUUUCUGCUUCCUUGAUGUCUUGUGUCAGAUACGUCAGGUUUUGUUUCACAUUAGUUCUGGCUUUGAAAAUAUUAUUUUACCAUUUCUUUCCCUGAAAGACUUUCAAACUAAAGUGAAAGAGCUGUGAUUCUUUUUUUUUUUCUUUUUUAGCUUGAUUUAGUACUCUGAAGCAAGCUCUCUCUCUGUACUCAUAUAUUCUUCCUGUUAUUGAAUUUAGCUCUUGUAGGAAAAAUAACCUUUCAGGCUGUGUCCCUAUUCCAGAAGAGAGAUGAUGUGAACAUCUAUUCUCUGUCCCUGUCAUUACUCUGUCAGCACGUUCACCUUACAUCUCAGGAAGCUCUUCUUAAUCAUAAACAACAGUUCUUUCUUAGAUCUGUUUCAUCUUGGGCAUUUUUGCCAUGCCUGUUGUGAUGGUGUGAAGUUGCAGAGGUUGGAUUUUUCUUGUGGCAUUUUCUUAAUUGGGAUUUGGAUUGAGUCUGCUAUUUUGUGUCACAUAAACUAAUGAAUAUGGAACACUGUGCAGGCAGUUCAAAUCAUCCUACAAGUUUAAGUAGCCAAUUUCUGUCAGUUCCUGUCAAAAUUAUACCUUUUAUAAUUUUGGAAGGAUUUCUUAUAACAUACUAAAAAUGUAGCAGAGCUGUAUCCCCUAUAUUGUGCCAGAACUUCAGCUGAAUGUACGUUGCUUAGUGCUAAUAUGGUAAUUUAGCAUAAUUUGUGUAUUUCUAAAGGAAAAAAGGGGAGGUGUCUGACCAGGUGCAAGUCUAAAAGCCUUUCAGUGUUGUUAAAUUGCUGGAUUUCAGUACAGAUAGUUGAAUGUUGAUUGAAAGUAAGUUAGAAAGGAUUACAGGAAAAACAAAAUCUAGAUUGUGGACCUUAAGGUAGUAGGCUUGCUCUUAAAAGAUGUAGAUUUUUGUCCCUGUAAUGUUCACGAGCUUCCACCCUUAUAAAGCUUUUUUGUUUGAAAAGCUUUUCCUGAGAGAUUAUGCAGUUUUGUGCAAACACAAAUAUGAGAGACUUAUUACUAUCUGAAAAUGAGCAUUCACUAUUUGGACUUGUCUUCUUGUGUAAUAUACUGUGUACCACUUUGUUCGACAUUGUUUUUAUUUUCUCUAAUGUUCAAAAUCUGCUGGAGAAAUACUCUCACUCUUGUUUGUUUUUUCAGGAGCUGUGUGUCUUUACCAAAUGUUAGAUUUUUUUUUUUCAGUGCACUGUGGUUGUGCCAAAAGUAAUCAUUGCCCUUUUCAGUGUUUGGAUCCUGGAUUUCAAUUAGUUAUGCUGUUAUUUAUUGCUGUCUUACAGAAGACUUAGUAAUGCAUAUGUACCAUGGCCAUAGCAGUUAUGGAGAAGAGCUAAAUUAAUGGCAAGUUCAUGGAAGAGAGCUAACUGGCAAGGGAAGCCAGUGAAUUAAUCAGUCUGAAUUACAGCUUAGAUUGUUCAAUGUGGAGUUCAUAGAAAGCAGACUUAGAUGUGUCAGUACAGCAAAUAGUAUUGGAAAUUUUUGUUCAGUAAUUCUUAAAUGAUCAGAAGGGUCAGUUUGAUCUGUACAGUUGCAAGAUAUAAAGUCACUUCUGUAAUUAACUUCUUUUUGUUUGUUUGUUUCAAGCUCUCACCCCUGAUAGUGUGGAACUGCUUUGAGAAAGAAGCUAGUACUUCAGAUUGAGGUUUCCUGGAAUGUAUUCCAGUUGACUGGGCUAGCAUUUGCCUCCUUUUCAGGCAUGUGAACUGAGGUUCACCUAGUAAUUUCUAAAGCUAGUCAUCUCGCUCUAAGUGGGUCAUUCACUUUUUAUCUUAUUGGAAAGAAACAAAAACAUCAAGCAAAGACAAGUAUCUCUCAUCUUUACAGUGGAAUGAGGUACAUUUCAGAGGUACCUAUUUCUCCCUGGCAAUUGUAGAAGAUUCUAGUCUAGAGCACAGCUAGUCUUAGCUAACCUUUCAAUGCCUGUUAGGUAGCAUGACUAUAGUCUUGAUCCUUAUGUCCAAGUUCACAAUUUGUCACUGCAUCUUCUCAGAAGACUUGAGCCAUGUAGUGAAAUCGUAGAAACACUUAAAAAAAAAAAAAAAUCCUAAAACUCAUUCAACCAGGAAAAAGCACUUAUUUAGCUGGAGGUUAGGCAUGCCCCCAUUUGAACUCUUCCUUAAACAUGUAUGAUUAAGCUCUGGAAGCAGUCUUUGACAACAUUCAUGAAUCACUAGAGCUGUGUCAUAUUGCUGUGCAAAUAAGUGACAAAGGAAGAUCUUAAUUUGUACUAGCUCUUGGGUCAGUUGGAGAGGUUCAAAAGAGAUGAAAGAUGUCUUUGUAGACUGGAAACUGACCCAAUAACAAAAACUGUAGAGUCACAAUGAUAUAUCCCCACUUAUUCAUGACCCUCUAACAAAAAGAUUCUGGGAGAGAGUUUGUCUAUGGUUUUAACAUUCUACACUGAAAGAAUAUUAUAUGGCAAAUCAUGUAGGCACAGGGAGCUUGUUGUAAUGAUUCUGCACACAAGUUUUGCUCACGUGACUGCUUCCAGUUCUAAAAGGAAUAUCUUAAUGAUGUGAAUACCAUUUAUCAGCAGUUAAGGGUAGAGGUGAUAAGGCUACAUUCCUAAAGAUGGAAUCUAUUUUGAGGACUUGGUAUUCACUUCUACCUUUUCAAAAAUAUGUAGAAGUAUGUGAAGUAUAAAAAAUAACAGUAUAUUUCCUGAUGAAUUCCAACUGAUAAAAUUGCUAGUCCCUGACAGUGACCGGGCUUAAGACUUUCUUUUAGUCAGGGCUCAUGAAACAAUCCAUGUGUACAUAUUAAGUGGAUUCUAGGGUGCAUUUUCACCAUUGCUUACUGUAAAUAAACAAAUUAACAUUAAAAUAUGGUAAUAGCAGCACCAAAGUUUUAAGAUGGUUUUUUUUUUUCCCCCACACUGUAACUCAUUUCUUCUGGUAUGUGUACACCAUAUUGCACAGUUUGUUUUUAGAAGUCAUUGUGUUUGCUGUAUCUGGAAGGUUGCAUCUAGCAAAUGCCUGCACUUCUAGCACUGACCAAAUUAAGUUUUCCCAAUAGCAUCUUACUGGAGUUGGUUCUUUGCCUACACCCAUGCAGAGUACACAUUUAAUACAGUGAGAACCUAACUUGGAAGGAUGUUCUGAUCUGUUAUGCCCAAAAGUAACAACUACACUAUUAAGGAAGUGUGCAAAAACAUAGAAAAGCAUAAUGUUAUACAAGAUAUUUGUAUUUGUUACUUCUAGUUUGCUUGUCAAAAGACUGACAUAUUCUACAGGGGAUUUCACAAGGCAGCCAGAGCAACCAAAAUUUUAAUUGACAGCCAAAAUAUCACUCAUGUCAACUUCCUUUGUAUUUCAGAAGAGUUAAUAUAGGAAAUAUUUGUGCAAGGAUAGGAAACUCUACAACUUCCCUUGUUGUGUUUAUCAUCCACUGUAAAAAUCCUUUGCAGUUCAUCCCUCCUGUCUCACCGAUGUUCUGAUGUUGGUGUCAUUAGCAAGAUCCACUGAAACUGAUAGUUCAACAGAAAUAUUUGGGAACAAAAAAAAAACCAAAACUCUGCAUAGGAAAGCAAUCAAACACAAGUACACUGGCAAGCUCAGCAUGACAUAAGUUGAGAUGAAACUUCGUAAAGGGACGAACUGUUUCUUGCUUGAGAAGUAGAAGCAGUGUUAUGAUGUGCUUUGUAGUCUUGAUUAUUAAAAUAAUUUUGAAGUGUAACCCUAACAUAAAAGCAAUGUUAACACUAAUCAAAUUCAAAUUUGUUGUAUAAAUAGUUAUUUACUUUACAGGACAUACAAGGAAGCUGUGCAACUGGCUAUUGUUUAUGCCAAAGGACUUGAAAGGUGCAGGAAAGCAAGUAACAGGAGAAUGUUGAAGGAGAAAAUAGUAUCAACCUUCCUCCAUAUUUCCUUCUUUUCUUGGAGGUUUCUAUUGUUUUCCUUUUUUCUUUCUUUUUACCACUUUUCAAUUUCCCAGUAAUAUUGUGAUAAUCCUACCUAUGUCCACAUAUUCUUUAGCUCUGGAUCUCUGCUUUUAAUGUGGCCAUUUGCAGUAUAGAUAACAGAUGGUUCCGUUUUGGAAGAGGAUUUUAGGUGGAAUUUAGGAGAAAAGUAGGCAGAAUUUGAACUAUUUCUUGGAAUUACCUCUUCUAUGUACUGCCUCAAUUAUAAAAGAGUAAAAAAAUAUAACAAUUGGUUUAUUCAGAGGGGAGAUAACUGUUUCAUCUGCAUUCUUCUGUGCCAUUCAGAAGACAGCUGUCAGACUAAAUAAAAAUGUGAUAAAAACAGACUCAUCUUUUAAAUUGAUUUUAAUCUAUCUGCAUCCAGCCAUAAAAUGCUCCCCAUUGAUGAUAUGGCAAAUAGUGUGAAUACAAUUAGUUAGCAAUUCAAUGUGCCUUCCAGAAAACAGGCUCUAAACCUUCCUGGGAAUAACUUUCUUUUAUCUUAACCAAUGAUUAUUUAUUUGUUUGAGACAUGAAACCACUAGGUUUUAGAAUCUCUUCAGAUCUGUAUUUUUUAAGAAGCAAAGUAACUAACAGUGGCAUGUCCUACCAUAUAGAAACUUUGCUGAAAACAUAGCAUUUACAUAUUUUUCUUUUUUGCCAGUCCUAGUGAACUGAUGAUUCUAGAGAGUACUCUGCAGAACUGUAGUAACUCUUGACUUUAUUAUAUUAUUUUAAAAGUAGAGUUACCAUGAUUGGUGAUGGAAAAACAAACAGAAGGCUAAUUUUUAUGUAUUUUGUGAUCAAAAGUACAAUUUAAUACAAUUAUUCACCCACAAUACCAAAUCAAAAUUGGUAGUCAGUCCAUGAGCGUACCACAUGUCAUAGCUAAGUUAGUCUUGAGUACUCUGCAGUAAAAGUGAAAGUCUUCAGUGAACAACUCUGCUUCAGUUACCAAUGCUACUAAUUAUCUCAAAUCAAUUACGUACUGCUCUUUCUGGAUUACAGGCUAGCUUUAAGCAUCCUCAGCCAUAUUGAAUUCCUUCUCUCAGCAACUGUGUAACUAUAAUAAUUGUUUGCUCUAGAUGAUCCACCAAUUAGUUGCUGCACGCAAUGCUACACAAUAAUAAGGAGAAGCUGUUAUUCAUCUGUUCUCACUGGGAGAUGGGCUUCUCCCAGGCUCUCACUGAAAUGCUGAAGGAGGUUGUUUCCUUUGGAGUUUUUCAUUUAUUGUGAUUACCUGAGGCUAAUGAGAUGGCUCCACAAAAUGACCAGAAAUGAAUGAAAACACCCUGUUCUUAUCACUGCUUGUAACGUUUGUACCCAGUCUUACAGCUGGUUCCCCAAUUUCCAUCCAUUUCUAACAGAUCAUCAACAGGCAAGUAAGAGCCUCACGUGUUUCUGGCAGCUGGAAGAAUUCAAAUUCUGGUUAACUCACUGCUUCUGUGCUGGUUUGAAGUACCUACCUCACUGUUCAGUGUUUUUCAAGGCCAGCCUGGCCCUAUGAGUAACCCUGCCAUUUAUGUGUUAUUGGCUCUCUUAUUGGUGUAAUUGCAAGUCUCCAUAGUUACUGAGCCUACCUUGAAUGUAGAUAAUUUCUUUUCUGAUCUCUUCAGAGGGAGCUACCUCUAGAUUAUUACUUAAUCUCAGUUGAUUUGCACUCUGUACUACAAGGAGAAUUGAAAUUUUUACAGGAAAACUCCUGAGAGAUUUUUCACCAAUGAGGCUUUCCUAGUAGAUGGAGUCUUUUGUACUUUUCCGGCACAUACUAAGACUUCCUGACUCCCUAGUUUGUGAUACUUUUAAAAUCAUUUACUGUCUUAAUUUUAGAUAAACUGAAGAUGGUUUAGUCUAUGUAUUUUUACAUAGUGGCCAUUCAUUCCAGUUAUGUUUGUAUGUGUAAGGAAAGGUAAAUCUUUCCUUAAUUCCCAAAAUUUAUCUUUCUGGAGAAGAAGUGAAUGACCUUUAUUAACGUAGUAGUAUUGCACAUUUUUCUUUUCCAAGAAGUUUCUAUGAAAGCAGAGCUACAGGCAUAAUAUAUUACUGAAAUAAACAUAGUGAAAAAUCACUUUAACAGAAUUUUUAGUUGUCACCUAGUGAUCCCUACCUUUAGUUUAAGUACUCUCUAUGGAAUAACAUGAAGUUAUUUUUGCCUGAAGGCUAUUUCUUUUAGAUAUAUGAAAAAUACUUGUGAUUUAUAUAAACCAGCUUAUUUCCUUAUGUGAUUUUUACGUAUAGGACUUUCACUAUCAAUUCACUUGACAUCGUCUGGAAGUCAGAUAUAAUUACAAAAAGCUGAAAGCAUUUGUUUACUGCAAUAACUUUCUGAACUGUAGGAGGAAUAUGUGCUCAUGCUAGAAAAUAUUCUUAUAUUUAAUCUUACGAGGAUUAUGCUGCUAAGUGCAUAAUCUAAUGUUAAACAUAUCUUCACUCCUUAAUAGAUCCUCAGUGGAUUCCCACAGUGUGGCAGCCUAAACAUCAAUAUAUGAGUGAGCUUCAUUUCUCUGAUUGUUAAAG
rnacentral:lncRNA from 1 species